CUCUAAAACUACACAAAUGCAAACCAACAAAUAGCAAAAAAAAACAGGUGUCAAUCUUUAAGCUACUCCACAUUGGAUUUUAAGUUUCAUGACAUGACAAAAAAUUAGCUUAAUUUAGGCAAUGUUUUCAAAUUUGAAAAUGGAGGGAAAAAAUGGUGAACAAAUGAUCAAAGGGCCAGAAAAGUGGGUCGAAAAUGCAAGGCCCGGUCCAAAAAGCCCACAUGGAUGGCAAACAAACAAAAUCUGGUCAGAAGCAAAAGGGUCUUGUCGUUUUCACCAUGCUGUGCAACCUCCUCUGCCCUCAAUUCAACUUUAUCAUGAAGCAAUUCAAAUUUCAAAUUCAAAUCACUCUCUCUCUCUCUCUCUCUCUCUCUCUCUCUCUCUCUCCCUCCCUCUUCUUUCACGUUCAUUUAACAUUCUUUCUCCUCCGUCCGUUUCUCUGCUUCAUCUCCAACCAGGUAACAAUUUCUCUCUCUCUCUCUCUCUCUCUCUCUCUCUCUCUCUGUGUGUGUGUUUUCCCUUUGUUACAAAUUUACUUCAACCAUUGUGAUUCUCUCUUUGGAUUGCUCAAGUGUUUUUUUCUCUUCUCAAUAGUUUAUCUAACGCCUUUAAAUCACUCCCAGUUUGUUUUCCCUUUCACAGAUUCUAUUCCAUCACAAUCUUCAGGUAAUAAUUUCCAAAUUUCAUUGUUAAAAUAUUUUACUAAAAUAAUUGUUUUUCUAACUCUAUUGAUUUCAAUGUUUGCUUUAACUGGUGUUCCUAAUUUGUUUUUAUUUUUUAUUUUUUUCUCACUAUCACAAUCAUGUACAUGGUGAUUUCAUACUAUUAGGGUAAUUUUCAUGAAUUUGUUUUGACUAUGAGUAAAUUUUUAUGAAGUUACAUAUUUCUUAUAGCUUUGUUAAGCUUUCGAUUGCUUUUCAUGGAGAAAAGGAACUUAUUGGUGUGUUAUUUGCUGUUAAUGGUAUAAAAAACCUUUUAAUCAGAUGAUUUUUUUGUCAAUUGUUGUUUUCACUUUUAACUUGCCUUGAAUUUCAUGAGUUUUGAUUAUUUAUUAUUUAUUUUUUCUUUGAAUUUCUGUUGAAAAUACAUUUUGGUUAGUUGUCAUGUUUGUUAGGAUUUGUUUCUAUCUUUUAGUUAAUAAUCCCUACUUCUUAGGAGAUCAAAACAACUAUCCCGUUCCUUCCUAAUGUGAUGAGAAUUUGCUUCAUCUUUUCUCAAUUUUUUUUUAUUGUUUAUAUAUGAGAUGACUUUUUAUUUACUUGCUUUUUGUUCUAAUUUGUUGCCUAAUUUAUUUGUUCUUUAACAAGUUAAUCAAUUAAUCGUGAAUUAAGGGUGAUAUUGUUAUACCUAUAUAAUUACUUGCUUUCUAUAUGUAGGUUUUGUUUCUUAUUAUUAGCUUCAUUUUGAUUUCCACUUUGUCUCUUUUUCCACAAAAUUGGGGAUGUAUCAAGAAUUAAGGGUGAUAUUGUUAUACCUAUAAUUACAUGACAUUAUUAAGUCUUUUAUUAUAUUUUAAUUGCAAUCGGGUUAAUUUUUUUUUUUUUGCAGUCACACAAUAAUGAAGAGUGAUGACGGAUCGUCACACUCUCUAAUCCAUGCCUAUUUUAGUAACAUUAAAUGCAUUUUAGUAGGUUUUAAGCAAUAAAUGUAAGAGAAAUCUAUUCAUAAGCUUGAUUACUUGUUUUGCAAGAAAACAGGAAAAAUUGCAGGAAAUUGCUGAUUUUCACUACGCUGGGGGCGUAGCCCAUCACGCGCCGCGUGAUGGAGAUCACAGGGAGCCAAGUUUUUCACUUUGAUCACGCGCGGCGUGAUGCCUACCACGUGCGGCGUGAAGCUUUGAUCAGAAUUAGAUUGCUCUCUGACUUGAUUACGCGCGGCGUAGCACUGACCACGUGCGGCGUGAAGGAAGGAAGGACAACUGCGCCGGGGGUGUGAAGCUAUCACGCGCGGCGUGAAGAUUGCAGAGUUGAAGAUCAGAGACCUCAGAUUUGAUCACGCGCCGCGUGAUACCGUUACACGCGCGGCGUAGUUGAAGGAUUUGCAACCACGCGCGGCGUGAUAGAUCUGGCGCGCGGCGUGGUUGCGAUUAUUAUAUAAGGAUUCUGCAUUUUCUGUUAAAGGGGUUGGAAAAUCUGCUACAUUCAUCUACUUUUCUGGUUUUGAAGCUUUCAGAGUUGGAUCCAGACCUUCAUAGGAUAGCUUCAAGCUCCUCAAUAGCAUGGAUUCUCAAGCCAUGAAGUUGAAGCUAGGACGCGAUCGAAGCAACAUGAGGAGCUAAACUCCUUGUGGAGGUAGGAUCUAGGAUAGCUUAGGAUGUAGAUGAAUCUCAUGUAGUCUGCUUAAUUGUAAGGAUUUACUCUGUUAACAGUGUUUACUUAAUGCAAUUCGUCUCUUAAUGCUUUAUGAUCCUUCAUUAGUGUUGUAAUGAUUUUGAGUUAAGUCACGUAUGAGAAUAUUGAUUUAAUGUCUGAACUGAAUUGCAUUGAGCACUCGAGUGUUUCCGGUCGAGAGAUUGAAACAUAGAGUGUAGCGAACGAUCGAUGCGCUUUCAUAUCAUUCGUUGUAGGUAGCUUCCGCCCGAGAGAUCGGGGGAGUAUCGACAACGAAUAGAGUGGAUUUUGACAAGAGAUUGCGAUUCACUAAUUUGUUGAUCCAGUUGUGAACACUUGAGUAAAUUCGUAUGAUACGGUAGAUUGCAUGUGAUUUAGCUAUAGACUAGGUGAUUCCGAUGAUUCUACCUCGCUUUUCCAUUUAUCUCAAAGCACGUUUUCUAACAAUUCAUCACUCAACAUACCCCCAAUUUAUGUGUAUUUCUUGCAUAAUGUUUAUGAACACUAUUAGACUAGUUUAAUCACACAAUCCCUGUGGAUCGAUAUUUUUAUUACUACGUGGUAUUUCGUUCACUUGCGAAAAUUAUCCAUCAAAGAGGUUUGGUUUCUUUCCCUUUUUCCACAAGUGCAUAGACAUCAGCCAUUAACUAGGAAUAGUGACUGUUAGUUCGAUUCAAUCUAUUAAGAUAUGCCUUAUUAGUAGGAAAUUUAAGUUAGUGCUUCAUUUGCAUGAACAAACCUUCCUAUUUUUUUUAACCAUAAACACAUAAGUUGAUAAUUUCAAAAUUAGCCUUUGUUGAUAUAUAGCACCUUAUUGAAAAGGAACUAAUAUGCAUCAGCUCUGUUUUGGAGGUUAUGGUUUAAUUUCAUGCCUUGAGUGAUCAUAACAUGAUUUAUUAUUGAGAGUACUUUGUCCGUUAAAAUAAUUUGUAUAUAUGGUAUGAUUUGCACCAGUGUAUCUUAUAAUAAGAUUUGAACCAUGUCUUUCAUAAACUUGAUUAGGUUCCUUUUGCAGGUUCUACUAACCGAAAUUAAUUCAAGGUUUUUCAUUUUACUUGAGAAGAGACUUUUGGUUGUGGAAAAAUGAUUUGCUACACCGCUGCUACAAAUAUCAGCUACAACUGCAGAAGUGAGAGAUGAUGACGGAGUUUGAAUGGUCACAUUUAGAGAUUAGAGAACAUGGAUGCUGUGAUGGAGCUCCUGCCCUAGAAAGAUAGACUUAAGAGUCUAUGGACGGUUCACAUACUAAUCAAAGCUUUAGGAAACAUGUCCAGUUAAACAUAGUUUGUAAUCUUGAGGAAAGAGUACAAAAGGUUGGACAAGCACAUGACAAUAAAGAAAAUGGAGAGGGAGGAUCACCAUCCUCUGUGUGACGGUUCCAUUUCAUCCUCUCAUGUUUGGAGUUUCUAUGUUUUCGUUAUGUUUGUUGAAGGUUCAGAACUGCUUCGACAUAAUCACCGCACCAGUCUUUUUUGCCACCAUUCGUGAUCUUCUCUUCAAAUGAAAGAGGUAGGAUGAAGGGAGGUUAGAAAGGGAGAUAGCAUCAACACAAAUUGCUAAAGAACAAUGAGAUCAUUUUGAGGACUAUAUUUAGUUUUAUAGUGUGUAUUAUUUCUUUGAAUUUCCUUUCCAUUACUUAAUUUCAUUUUAUUAUUACUACUACUUAAUUUCAUUUUAUCAUUUUGAGGACUAUUGUUUGAGUGAUCACUUAUAGUUUGAUACUUUUAAUUACUUUAGUUUGAUUUAGAUAGAAAAAAUCAUUGUCAUCCUUUGAAUUACUUACUUUAAUAAGAGUUGGUGAGCUACAUAGCUUUCUUUGUAUUUGAAAACUCUCAAUGAUUGUGAAAGAAAAAUAAAGCCUACCAUAGAUCUGUUUUGGAUUGAUUGCUAAGUUUUAAUAUGCACCAUUGUUUACAUUUUCGUUUGUUAACUUAACAUGUUUCAAAUUAGGUAGGCUAAAAAAAAAACAUGUAUGAGUUGAAUGAAUGUUUUCUUUUUUGGUUGUGACU